CGCGCAGCAGAGCCCGGUGUUCUGGGGCGCUCCUUUACCCCUCCCUGGGGCAUUUGGUGACAGCACUUCUGGGGUGAAUUCGACUUCUCUGGCCCGUACGUUUGGAGGACGCCUUUCCCUCACAGUCUUGAGGGCACACCCGGCCCGUGCAGGGGACAGGAAUUGGCACACCCUGAGCUACUGUCAUCCCUGAAUUGCCAGCUCUGUCUCGCCCUGCCUCCUCCCUGUGCAAAAGGAAGCUGAAGCUGAGGCACCUCCUCUCCUCAGACAAAACUGUCUUCUAACGCAAAGACGUGUCCUCGCUCCUCUGUCACACCGUCUGGUUCACAGCUCGGUAGUGAUUUUGGCAGGUGGCUCCGAGGGAGUCAUCGCGGAGCUCUGUGCGCCCUGAAUUAUUUCUGAUGGACGCGCCGGGUCCUUCCCCGUGUGUCACAGCGCGGGCAGCACACGGAGCAAAGUCCUACCCGCUUCCCUUUCCCUCCUCCGGCAGCUUUCUUAUGGCUAUAAACCCCGCUACGGAUCUCUUCCCAACGAGGAAGUAGGGAAGAGAUGGUCCUGGGGUCAUUCACCUUCUUGGCGUCGAGGUUCCCCAGCCGGUCUGAGUUACCGAGCUCACCCCUGAGUGUCCCCACCAGCCCGGCUCCCAGAUGCCGGACGGAUCUUUCAUACUUCCUCCUGCCUGUUCUGCCGGCCCGCAAGACGAGCAGAAAGAACAUUUAGAUAAAUCUGAUCUGGCUUCUGAUUCUCUGCGGGGAGUUUAGGCUUGGUUAUUAUUCUCACUGUUGCUUUCCACUGUUGCUUUCCCUGUUGCUUCCCAGUUCCCCCUGCCCCAGUGAAGCCCGGCUGGGAAGAAGCUCAACGCUGCUGAUUUCCCCCGGCUCACUGACACAUAAAUAGAUUUGUUGUUUUUUGUUUUUUGUUUUUUGGUUUUUUUUUUUUUUUUUGUUUGUUUUGUUUUCUCUAAAGUAAUUUUUGGCAGUGGCCGGCUUGCCCCCUUGGGGCCACUUGCAGCUCAAACGACCCCAGGGCCGGCAGAGGCGGCGCUCCGCUCCGCUCCGUCCGGGACAGACGCCCCGUGGAGGACGCGCGGCUGCGGGGUGGGCUCGCUCCCCGGCGGGGUCGGGAGGAAGCACCCCUAGCCCCGUCCUCUGCCCAGGCUGGACUCCCGGAGUCGGUAUUUUCGGAAGGAGAAAGGAGGGAUUCAGACGGGUCCUCGGGCAGUGCAGUCUCAACCCUGCGGACAGUGGAUCCGGGAGAGCCCUUCCGAUGAUCGGCUUGGGAAGUUGCAAAGGCGAGAAAAGAAAGGAUAAGCGAAGAAAUCCGAGAGAAGCUCACCAAGUGCAACAGGUCGCUUCAGCUGCUCCAGGGACCUCACGAAACCAAGUGCCCACUCCCUGUCCUUCCUCCUCCGGCUCCCCACGUCGCGACUUUGCUCUGGGAUAGUCUUUGAAGGGGAUGCGGGAAGUCCCGCUUGGACAAGACGCGGAGCGGUCGCCCCUGCGCAGCCUCUGCAGAGGAGCAAGAGGAGAAGGAUGAGGAUGCUGUGUCCCUGAGUUACGGCACUGUGGUACCUUUCCGCGCGUCUCUGCCAUUCCCCCUCACACCCCACACCCCCUUCUGAGACAGCCUUUGUCCCCGGCCCCGUGUGUGAAUCCCCAGUGCGUUGUCAGGAGGCUGAUCAGUUUGGAAAUCAGCAAAUAAAUGAUUAAAAAUGCAUACA
ensembl:lncRNA